GGGCACCAUGUAGCCGUCGUAUCAGCCCUGGCAGUGGAAAAGCCAGCUUCUACCUGAAACUGAUGCCUUCAGAAUGUAUCGAUACGGUAAUGCUACUUUCUCUUCGAAAUUUUUGGGUUCUUGCACAUGCGGAUGCUUGCAGGGGUAACCUCCACUAGCUCAUCUUCUUGGAUAAACUCUAUGCAGUCAUCCAAACUGUAGCUUAAAGGUUCAUCAAGAACCACUGCAAAAUAGGGAACACAGAGCAUUAAGUGUAGUUUGAUCAAAAGCUAAUAGUCAAUGAAUAUGAAUAUUGGUUGAGUAAUAAAAGCAUUUUCAAGUACAUAUUGGGCAUUUCAGCACUUGCUACUUCUAGAAUGAACAACCUACAUUGUUUUCAAUACAUGGUUAUAUUCCAAGAUCUCUACUCGUUCUUGUUCCAAAAUUUUAUCAUUUAUGUUGCAGCAGCUAUUGGGACGUUUUUCAAGAAGAGCCAAUCACAGUACACAAAAUCUGUUACAUAAAAGGUGGCAGUUCUGGUAGAAAUAAAAAAAAUGAGAAAUCAUCAAACUGCUGAGUGAAAAUAAAGUUCUACCUGUAGUUUCCUUGUUGGAACGAACAUUUGUAGCAGCCUUUUUCUUGCACACAUUAAUUGCUAAAUCACCAGGUCGCUGAUGGAUACCAACAAUUUGACCUUUGUAAACAUCCUGGCCAGGUUGGACAAACAGCAAACCUCUUUCUUGCGCAUUAAGAAGUGCGUAAGAAGUAGUGCUUCCAUCUUCAAACGCAACCUAGAUCAUUUUAUCCAAGUUAAAUGCUAGGGAAAAUUUAAGGAAAAGCUUCAUUGCUUUGAAAAUUAUCCAUACCAAGGAUCCCUGAUCGCGUGAGCUAAGAUCUCCAGCCCAUGGGCCAUAGCUGUCAAAAAUUGUGUUAAGUAUAGCUCUGCCACGAGAAGCUGUAAGAAUUGCAUUCCGAAGUCCAAUGAGGCCUCUGGUAGGAAUCUUGUAUUUCAGCAAUGUUGUUCCCUCCGGCCUACCAUUCAAAAUAAUUCUCAGUAAGGCAAUAAAGCAAUGUGAAAAAGAAGCAGUACACAAUAGGCUGGGGUAUGAUUUAAUUAAUACAAGACAAGUCAAUAAUCAAGCACAUAAUUUUCCUCUUUUCGUUGAAAGACCUGGCUUUUCAAUUAAUUAGAACAAUUCACCUGCUGCAUGAUUUCUACACUAGAUAAGAUAAAUUAUCCAUAAUUAAGGACUGAGACACCAAUAAAGUGAAAUCACAACUCCCAACUAAAAUUGUGCAAACUGACCAUGGAAGAACUCACAGAAAAUUGACCAGUUUGUUGGAUUUCAUCAGUUUGGAUAGGUUUGCAUUAAUGUCUGAGCUUUUCUUUUUCUCAAGUAAAAUUGUUCAAAAUAUACACAAAAGAUAAUGAUGCUAAGAGCAUACAAUUAUGUUUACUUAGUCCCAUACUGCGUACACCUACGUUAGUGCAUAGAGUAUGAAGCUUAACCCUAAACCCUUAAUAGUACACCUUAUGUUUUAAUUUACAGGGUGCACUUUUCUUUGGCUCAGAGACCAAUAAGGUAGCUAACGUGACCAAAUUGCCCCCCAUUAAUUCUUAAGAAUGCAUGCAGCUCGGCUAUCAAUUGCUGCCGUUGCUUAGGAGGGCUACAGACGUCCAUUUGUGCUUUGGAAACGGAACGUGCUUAGUAAAAAUGAACAGCUAAGAGAAAAAUGGACACCCUAUAAAUCCGAAACGGAAGGAGUACUAGUAGUUACAAAAAUACUACAUUAAAAAUAACAGAAAAAAAGGUCAUCUAGGAUGAAAGUGUGGGACUUGAGCAAUGAACUCCAGAAGUCGUUAAUUCUGAUGAAUCGCAACAAUGUUGGCAGUUUUUAUUGCUUUCUUUUUUUCUAUAUAAGAAUAUUAUAUGGAUUGCAACCAAGAAUUUCGCUAAAGAUCUGAUGAAGUAAUGAAAGUAUGGCACCAACCCGCUAGCUUCCAUGUUAACCAUUUGUCCACGCCUUUUCCCCAAAAGCUCAACAACUGAACCCAUGUACUCCUCUGGAACCUCAACAGCAGCUAUCUGGAGCACAGUAACGUGAACAUAUUAGUUAAAUGGAACCUGAGGACAAAAGAGUUCCAGAAAGAAUAAAGUAAUAAAAGAAGAGGUUUAUAGCCAAUAGAUCAGUAAAAAAAUAUAUUACAAAUCUAUUAUAUAUUUAUACAAUAAAGUAUAGACUUACCUCAUAAGGUUCUAGUUGUUUUCCAUCCACUGUCUUGUUUAUGACCUUUGGAGGUCCAAUCAUAAAUUCAUAUCCUUCUCUCCGCCUACAAAGUUCACAUUGUUCUUAAUACAACCAGAACUCACUAAAUUCGUAAUAGUAACAAAUGUUAGUUCUUACAUGUUCUCUAUCAAUAUUGUGAGAUGCAGUGUGCCUCUUCCACUAACAAGGAAUGUAUCAGCAGUCUCCCCAUCUUCUACUUUCAUAGCCAAAUUCCUUUCAAGCUCACGAUAUAACCUGUCACGGAGAUUUCGGCUAGUAACAUAUUUCCCCUGUGAUAGAGAAUGAGAGGAAGAAUGAAUUUAGAACAACAAAUGCAGGAGAUCAGAUUGAGUAGUCAAGAUCAAUUUUAUGGAUCUCCCAACUCUCUUUAGCACAGGAUAGCAUGCUAGAAAUUAGAGAUACACUAUUUUAUGUUUGCGUGGAGGAUGGCUAUACCUCCUUUCCAACAAAAGGUGAUGUAUUGAUGGAGAAAGACAUUCUGACUGUUGGCUCCUCCACUUUGAUAGUGGGCAAUGGUGUUCCUGUAACUUUAUCAGCAAUAGUUUCCCCAAUCUGUAUGGUUCGAAGCAUAGAACGAUAACGUUAUAAAGAUAAAAAUAAACUGAAAGAAUUGAAUACAAGAUGAACAAACACCUACCAUGAUAUCAUUCAUUCCACAUACAGCACAAAUGUCACCGGCACCAACAGAUUCAACUGGAACACGGCUGAAGUUCUGAUAAACAAAAAGCUCACUUAUUUUGCCGACCCUGCAAGCAUCAUCAGGUGUACAAACCUGCAAAGUAUCUUAAUCAGUAGAAGCUUGACUGCAAUAAGACACUAACAGCGGAAGAAAUUUUUCUACUUUUAUUCUAUGGAAGACUUAAAGACUUUGGGACCGAUAAUGAAAUAAAAACAUGACCAACCUAAGAGGAACUAGGUGGCAUUGUAAAUAAGAAGAAAUAUGUACCCAAAUUGGAAUUGAAGAGGACUUGAACCUGGGUGGUGGAAGUGUACACACCUUCCACCAACUGAACUAGACUCAGUUUUGAAUACAUGAAAUACGUAUGGUAAAGAACUAAAUUUGAAGAUCCAAUAUGACUAAUUUCAUUUAUAAAACACAAUAAUUAUGACUAUAGCAUAAUGUUUGAUAACAUGCAUGUUGGAGUGGCAAUGAGAAAAUAGGAUGCACCAGGUGUAAGAUAAAGGGAUGUGAAGCCUGCUCAGGCCUCAACUAGUCCCAGCAGUUUUUUUUUAAUCUUAUAUGAUUUGCUAGUUUUGAGAUGAAUCAAAAGGCAGCAAUCUCAAAUAGAGGGGCAUCCGAGGUAAUCAAAAAAAUGUUCUAAUUUUAUAUCUUUGUAAAUGAAAUUCAUCUGCUUUGAGGCAGCAACCCGACAACAGUUUCCACAGCAUAUAUGUAAUAGGAACCAUAUACCAACUCACUAUAAAUGGAUAUUUUCUUUUUCAAGCACAAGUACAGUAGGAAUUUCAAUCUAUCCAUUGGUUGAGCCUGUCUAUGAUGCUACCGCGUUUCUAUAUAUAAUUUUCCCACUGGUAUUCAUGUUUACAUUGCCAUGCAGAAAUAUGCACAAGCAGAACAGAUUUAUACCUUGACUUCCAAGCCACGCUGAAGUUCCCCUGCAUGCAACCGUCCAAUUGCUAUCCUUCCUUUGUGCUCAUCGUAUUCAGUAUUAGAUACCUUCAUAAUAGUCAGCAAUUAAGACUUAACAAAGAUAUGGAGGCAAUGAAGAAUUUGACAAUGAAAGAUAAAUGGAGAUAUAGCCUUGAACAUCCAAACAUUCUGAGAAGCCAGAAAGCCAGCUCAGCAGAAAUUUGUUCAUGUAAAACUAUUGGAGCUUUACAAAGCAUGAAGCCUGGAAGAAGCAACAAAAUAGAUAAUGUAUUCAUAUAUUAUGUGUUUGGUUACUGUUGAGUUUCUGUGUACAAACUAGCAAUGCACACUUGUAGUAGAAACACGAGUAAGUGUUCAUGUGACAUCAGUCUGGAAGAGAUUAGUUGUGAAUAUGAAUCAAGAUUGCAGUAUUAGCUGUCCAUAAUUAAAACAAACUUUUCUUGAUUGUGAAUGUAAGAAAUAAUUCAUCUCCAGCAAAGUUUUCCCUCUUAGGGAAUAUCAGAUAUUGAUCAUUUCAAUAAAAACAUAUAACCUAGUUUUCCAUGACAUGGUUUUUGGCAUUUUAGAGUAAUGGCAUUACUUCAUAUUUUAUUGAUAGAUCCCCUCUGUUCUAUAAUACAGGAUGUGUGUUUCUUUUCGGAUCUUGAUCAGAUUAGAAGGCGUGUACAAUUUUCCGUUCGAUAAUGUACCACUAUGCCCCUAAUAACUCCUUUUUUAUGUAGUUAGCAGUAAUAGCUACACAUGCAUUUGGCAAGUUACUCCAAAUGGCACCUGCAUGCAUGCAUGCAUAGCUGUAUGUGUAUUGCCCACUCCAGUGCAUGCUGAGAAAUGAGGCCCGAAUACUUUGAAGCAUGCAUGCUUACGGAAUUAAUACGAAAAAAUUGGUCACUGUUGGUACCUUGUUGGUCUUUGGGACAAAAAUAAAUCAUACCUUCUAAUAUAGGAGGGAGGGAGUAACUAUUUAAGCACCUAUAUAGUUUGACGACAAAUUACUUUACAUUAACAAACAAAACAGAAAAGAAACUAUAAUUCUACAGUUUAGGAGGCACUAUUUGUGAAAUAAAUCAAUGAUAAAAAACUUUUUCAGAGAUGCUGCUAAGAAAACAAUCACCAAAAUUGAUAAACAUACACGACGCCCAUGAAAAUGAGAUGCGUGAACUGUGACAAUAUCAAGCACCAACCAUGCAAAUCAGAGACAGAAUGAUGUAUCAGAUAUAAGGAAACAAAUGUCAAAGUUUAGAACUCACAAGCAUUUGCAGGGCACCAUCUUUCUCAAUGCGUGGCUCUGGGAUGCAUCUUAGAAUAGCCUCAAAAAGGGGUCCUAGGUCAUCAGCCAAAUUUUCUGGAUCUAACCCAGCCUUUCCUUUAAUUCCACUUGCAUAGACUGUUUGGAAAUCACACUGGCAUGUUGGAACAAAACAUGAACAUCAGGGCUAGGAUAUGACGUUUCUUGAUAAAUUAAAAACAAAUUAAAUGAACAAGAGUAUAGACAUAACUACUUUACCUGUUCAUCAGUUGCAUUUAACUCAAUAAAUAGUUCAAAUGUUGAAUUCACCACAAACUCAGGACGAGCAGCUGGUCUGUCAAUCUUGUUUACAACUACAACAACUGCAUGUCCAAAUUCUAGAGCUUUCUUCAGAACAAACCUUGUCUGUGGCAUAGGCCCCUCUACAGAAUCAACCUAUAUAGCAGAUAAGCUUUAAUUAAUCAGAUAUAUUGCCCAUGUUUCCUCAAUAUAAUUUCUACACUGCUCAGAAAUCAAUUUGAAAGGGACUUGGGUAACUAACAUGCAGCAGAAAAUGGAACAUAUACACAUGCUGCAAGUACAAGUUUGAUUGAAUAUAUGCAUAAGCCAUGUCAAAAGUUGGUAGCAUCACAAUGACUAUGUAUGGGUAAACUAAAAGCAGUAAAGCACAUAAGAAGUCAAAAGUGUGUCAACCAAAAAUUUACUGCAGAAAAGAGAAAGAUGUCAUUAUUCAGGAAGUUAAACAAAGAUGAGUAGUCACUAGUACCACUAGAAGAACUCCUUCAACCAUGUUGAGAACACGCUCAACCUCCCCGCCGAAAUCUGAAUGUCCAGGAGUAUCAAUUAUAUUGAUUUUAGUACCCUUAUAGGUUAUUGAUGUAUUCUUGCUCAAAAUAGUGAUUCCUCUUUCUCUUUCCAGAUCAUUGGAAUCCAUUAUUCUUUCCUGCACAACUUGAUUAUCCCGGAAAACCUGCAUAAGGUAAGCAGUUAGAGUAAUCCAACAGGAAGACCCAUUCACAGUAAAUGCACUACUGAUUUUUGCUACUACAAUGUGACAGAAUGGUGAUUCAAUGGAUAUAAGUUCCACACAUGGUUUCUAAUUUAUCUCAUCUCAGUAGUUAUAAACUCCUGCAAUACUGUUUAGUUUAACAUUGAUUUGGAGAGAAGGGUUCCAGAUUGAACAAAGAGACACUAAAUCAAACAAAGGAUACAGGUUUUUCAUUAAACACUUAACUGAGUGAAUAAAAUUAAAUAAUAGGUUUCUUGUGGGAUGGAUGGAAUCGGUUUCUAGAAGCAUACCGACCACAAUCAAUCUGGAUUUUACAGGGUUGUAACAGUGGUGACAUUUUUUUUUAGUAAAAUAUAUGAAUGCCAUUAUACUUGUCAAUGUAUUUCAGUUUGGCCAUUGUACUCAGGAAAGUGUAAAUCGUGGCCAUUAAGUUUGCCUGACUAACCAACACUGUUGUAGUGUAAUGGUAAGCCCCCAGUUGAGGGAAACACCAACCAGGGUCCUGGUGGCACAAAAAAAUAUCCCCUUGCUGGCAACCAAAAAUAAUAGUGGCAGGUGGCACCUGUGGUUGGUUUGGGCCCUCCUACCAGGACCCGGCUAUGGUUCGGCCCUAUAGGGUGAAUCCAGGGUUCAGGGGUUUCUCGGCCGGCUUGGCUGAGGUUUCUUCUCAGCUGUAAUGCCGCGGGGAGAUUCUUUCCCCUGCCGGUCGAGUUUUUCUAAGUUCUCCUGACUAAGCCGAUACAGCCAUUGGCCUAGCAAUAUGAAUAUGGAUGCAUAGAAUAGGCUCGAUCGUAUCUGGUUGUCCAACAUGGGCAAAUCAUACCUGAGGCAUUUAUGUUCGCAAUCUAGUUUGGCAUUUGCGCCUCCUGCCCCUUCCCUAGUUCUUUUCCAUCUAUAGCAUUCCUCUAUAGCCCCUUCUAGUGAUUCUGGAGACAGGGCCAUAACAGAGGUGGUUGUGUUGGCAGUGGUGUUUGGCAAGCGAUGAUCAACGAGCGGAGACGCUCAUCCACGUGCAGAUGUAGGGCAAAUUUCAGCCCUUCUUGACCGUGGCUCCAGCCCGCCCACAUAUCCUCCUCCCCGCAAUCCAUCACUGCAGCUUGAGCUGCCUUAGCUCUCAGCCUUAGCUCUCCCCUAUUGCCGCUGCUCCGACAUGGAUGAGGAAUUGAAAGGAAACAAUGGCAGAAAGAUGGAAGACUCGGAGAAAUGAGUGGACCGGAGCAAUGAAUGGAGUAUUAAAUUAGUGGGUCAUCUACCAGUGCUCAGGAUUCCAAGACAACCUUUCACCAAGUAUACAGGUGUAUUUUGCAUAAAAGAAAAGACCCAAUCCCUGUCAUGAUUUGGCCAUGCUGGACAAUCAGACACAGUCAAACCUACUCCUCAUCCAAAUACGUAUGGUUAAGAAUCCCAUGGCUGUAUUGGCAGUCAAGCGAGCUUAGUGCCCUCAAUUUACACAUUUUUUUAGGACAAUGGCCAAACUGAAAUACAAUGACAAUGACAAUUACAAUGACCAUUCAUUUACUUUUUUUUUUCUAAAACGCACAGGAGGACUGUGCAUCAUUCUAUUAAGAACUUAGAGUCGAAGAGAACUCAUACAGAAACCACAUAUACCCAGACACCCAGUGGUGACAUAUUGUCUCUUUUAAAGCUAGCAUCCACAUAUAAAGUUCUGGUAUCAUCCAUUGCAUGUAAAGCCAUCUUACUUCCCCAGGUAAUCAGGAAGUAAAAACUGAAGUUCUUUCAGUUACUUUUUCUGUACUUAGAUGACUGUCAAUUAAGGUACUUCGUCUAAAAGUGUAGUAAAUCUCUGUAAACAUAAUCGCAAAGGUAAUGAAUGCAUUACUAGAAUGUACCUUGGCUUGCCUUAACAUUGAAUCCACCAAAGUUGUCUUCCCAUGAUCAACAUGAGCAACAAUUGCUAUAUUCCUCACAUCCCUUCUAGUUGCUUGAGUACUCUUCCCUGCUGAUAAUCCAGUGAAGAAUGCACAUAAAAUUGGCAUGGUUUCAACAGAGCAGAAGAAAAGUCAACAUAUAUAGAAAACAAAAUGUGACUUAAGGAAACUUUGGGAAUCAUCAAGCGGUCAUUCCAAUGUUACUAAGCCAAGCUAGUAUGGAAAUGACAAUGGAUUUUAAUUUCCACAAGGAAGGUGAAGGACAUUAUCCAAAAAUGCACGUCUUUCACAUGAACCACUACUUUGACAAAAAUCAAUGGCGGAGCUGAAAAUAAUGAUCAUCAAUCAUCAAAUUACAUCGAAGUGGCAAGGCCACACAAGCUUUUGGGAGCUAUGAGCUAAGUGAAGCCAUGAUUGCAGCACGGCAGCAUUGGAGAGAAAUGCCGCCUUGUGUGAUGUGCCUAUCUAAUUCUAGAAAUGGGCCAACAUCUACUAGUAGCCUCACAGAUAGAGCUAUCAAGUUACACAAGAGAAGCCCACUCAGGUAGUUAGCAUACUGAUCACUGAAAUGGACUCAGGACCUCACUAUGCCAAAUUACUAAUCAGAAUGCAAAACGGCGUUAAUCCUACUCCACAAAGCAGGAACCUCGGUGCCGUUCACUUAUCGAUUAGAAAAAACCGUCCCAACGCCAUUCGGGGAAUUGAGAAAUUAGGGAGCGAGUUGAAGUGUUGAACUACCGGAGGGAGCCGGGGAGGCGGCGACUUCCUUGACCUCCUGCUCGAGCGAGGCGGAGGCCCUGAGGGAGCGGGGCCUCCGUCGUCGGAGCGAGCGGGGGACCCGCAGCAGGCAGGGAGAGGACCCGAGGUGGGCGGAGCUGGCCGGCGGCGGCGCGGCGCGGCGGGCGGAGGGGACGCCCCGCAGCGUGAGGGUCUGCUGCAUCUGCAUGGCGUGGCGGCGGGUGGUAGCGGGGGGGUGCCGC
rnacentral:lncRNA from 1 species